GUGCUCGCUUCGGCAACACAUAUACUAAAAUCAGAACGAUAGAAGAUUCACAUGGCCCCUGCCCAAGGAUGACACGUGAAUUUGUGAAGUGUUCCAUAUUUUU
ensembl:snRNA U6 U6 spliceosomal RNA